UACAGAGGGGGCAAGCGUUAUUCGGAAUUAUUGGGCGUAAAGGGCGCGUAGGCGGUUUUUUAAGUGAGAUGUGUAAUCCCCGAGCUUAACUUGGGAACUGCAUCUCAGACUGGGAGGCUAGAGUACUGGAGAGGGUGGUGGAAUUCCACGUGUAGCGGUGAAAUGCGUAGAGAUGUGGAGGAACACCAGUGGCGAAGGCGGCCACCUGGACAGUAACUGACGCUGAGGCGCGAAAGUGUGGGGAG
rnacentral:rRNA from 1 species